UUUCCGUAGGUGAACCUGCGGAAGGAUCAUUACCGAGUUUUUGAUUGCUAGUCAGUCAAACUCCCAUCCUUUGUUUAUUAUGUCUUCUUCGGCGAGACGUUUUAUCUCGAUAAGCCACUGGACUGGAGACAGUCGAGUGAGUGCUUGCCGAAGGCCUUUUUAACUCUAUCUUUUGAAGUCUGAGUCUAAAGAAAAUAAAUUAAAACUUUCAACAACGGAUCUCUUGGUUCUGGCAUCGAUGAAGAACGCAGC
rnacentral:misc_RNA from 1 species